rnacentral:rRNA from 1 species
AUUGAACGCUGGCGGCAGGCCUAACACAUGCAAGUCGAACGAGUGGCGGACGGGUGAGUAAUGUCUGGGAAACUGCCUGAUGGAGGGGGAUAACUACUGGAAACGGUAGCUAAUACCGCAUACCAUCGGAUGUGCCCAGAUAGGAUUAGCUAGUAGGUGUGGUAAAGGCUCACCUAGGCGACGAUCCCUAGCUGGUCUGAGAGGAUGACCAGCCACACUGGAACGGAGACACGGUCCAGACUCCUACGGGAGGCAGCAGUGGGGAAUAUUGCACAAUGGGCGCAAGCCUGAUGCAGCCAUGCCGCGUGUAUGAAGAAGGCCUUCGGGUUGUAAAGUUCUUUCAGCGGGGAGGCGGUACUCAAAAAAGAAGCACCGGCUAACUCCGUGCCAGCGGCCGCGGUGAUAC